rnacentral:lncRNA from 1 species
AGCCGGUCCAAAUCGCUGAAGUUGAGCCGCUGCGCAUGAGGGACGCCCCCUGCAGGAUGCGAAGGGCUGUCUAGGCCGGUGGCUACGCGCGCCUGCAACAGGUGGCACUCCUGCUUCAGCUCUUCGAUCUGUUUGUCUUUGGCUAGCAGCACGCUGGCCUGCUCUGACAAGUCCCUGGCGCGCUGGCGGGCAAGGGCCUGGCACAGCUCCAGGCCGGCUCGGUUCUCGCCUAGCACGGGCGCACUCAGCGCUCGCAGGACUGCUGCCGCCUGGCCGGGGCUUCCUAGCCUUUUGGGUGACGUGCGGCUGCCACCCAAGGGGGUGGGUGAGUCCUCGGUCAUUGUGGCUGAAGCCCGGCCAGACACCUGACCUCGCCUGGCAGGCCGCAGCUCGCCAACGGCUGCCGCCCCGGCCGAGGCCAACCGCCCCGCGCGCCCCUUCCGGCGCCCCCUGGCUGUCUCCUCGAGCCCCUUCCUCCUCGGGGCACUUCGUACCUGCUAUCGGACUGGACGCUCCAGAAAGGCCAGGUCUCUGCCUGUCUGGUUCAUCCAGAUUCACCCACGCCUCCCCAGCACUGUGACCAGCACAAAGUAAGGGCUCAGCUCAGGUAGGCGCCCCGCCCCCCGCCCCCC